rnacentral:rRNA from 1 species
GACUCUUAUUACUUUGACCAUAUUUUUAUCUUCCAUCUCUAUUUUG